rnacentral:rRNA from 1 species
UACGGGGGGGGUAAGCGUUGUUCGGAAUUACUGGGCGUAAAGGGCUCGUAGGCGGCCAACUAAGUCAUACGUGAAAUCCCUCAGCUUAACUGGGGAACUGCGUCUGAUACUGGAUGGCUUGGAUUCGGGAGAGGAAUGCGGAAUUCCAGGUGUAGCGGUGAAAUGCGUAGAUAUCUGGAGGAACACCGGUGGCGAAGGCGGCAUUCUGGACCGACAUUGACGCUGAGGAGCGAAAGCCAGGGGAGCAAACAGG